AUACGUAGGGGGCAAGCGUUGUCCGGAAUUACUGGGCGUAAAGAGCUCGUAGGCGGCUCAGCAAGUCGGUCGUGAAAGCCCGAGGCUCAACCUCGGAACUGCGGUCGAUACUGCUGUGGCUAGAGUCCGGUAGAGGAGAGUGGAAUUCCCGGUGUAGCGGUGGAAUGCGCAGAUAUCGGGAGGAACACCAGUGGCGAAGGCGGCUCUCUGGGCCGGUACUGACGCUGAGUAGCGAAAGCGUGGGGAGCAAACAGGAUUAGAUACCCUAGUAGUCC
rnacentral:rRNA from 1 species